rnacentral:rRNA from 1 species
CGAGCACGCGCGUGUGGCAUAUCAAUAAGCGGAGGAAAAGAAACUAACAAGGAUUCCCUUAGUAACGGCGAGUGAAGCGGGAAGAGCUCAAAUUUGAAAUCUUCAAGGUUCUACCUUGACGAAUUGUAGUUUAUAGAAGUGUUUUCUGUUAGUGGAGUGGCAAAAGUUCUUUGGAAUAGGACAUCAUAGAGGGUGAGAAUCCCGUAUUUGGUCAUUCCUCCUAGCGUUGUGAUACACUUUCAACGAGUCGGAUUGUUUGGGAAUGCAGUCCAAAAUGGGUGGUAAAUUUCAUCUAAAGCUAAAUAUUGGCGAGAGACCGAUAGCGAACAAGUACCGUGAGGGAAAGAUGAAAAGAACUUUGAAAAGAGAGUUAAACAGUACGUGAAAUUGUCAAAAGGGAAGCGUUUGACACCAGUGUUGUUUUUCCGAAAAUCAAUUACGAAUGUUUUAUUUUUGAGGAGUUAUGACUUCAUCGGCUUGCUCCUUUCUUUAUGAAACUUUCUUAAUGCACUUUUCGGUUAACAAGUCGACAUCAAUUUCUUUUGUUGUAAAAGGGUAUGAGGAAGGUGGCUUUCUUUUCGGAGAAAGUGUUUAUAGCCUUGUAGCCUCUGCAAUCGGAGAGAUUGAGGUCUGCAGCGUAGAUCCUUCGGGGUUAGAUACAGUUUGUGCUAAGUUAUAGCUUUUCAUAGACAACUUGUUGACUAUGUUAGUCUUGUAGCUUACUCGCUGACGCUAUUUUACCUACGCUUAGGAUGUUGAACUCUAUCACACACAG